AAUCUUUCUCUUUUUGAGUCCAAUUCUAACAAAUCUGUCAUUAGGCGUGGAAAAGACAAUAGGAAACAGAAGAAGACAAAGAAAAAUAGUGGCCGUAGUAGUUUUGCCUAUUGUCCCCAUUCUGAUAACUACAAGUCUGCAAUUGAAAGCCAACAAAAGAAAGAUUGCAGUCAGAUAUGAUAAGUACUCCAAACGGAAAGCUUCAAAAAUAUGAUACAAACGUACAACUAGAAACAGUACAACUGGAAACAGUACUUUCACAUGAAAACUAGCACACAAGCCACUUUUUGCUUACACAGGGAUCAAAACCAUCUCUAUUUCACCUAUGCCUAAAACAUAUAGUCAAAUACGUUGCCAUGUCAAGUUUAUUAAGGUCAAAUUAAUUUGAUUAAAGCUAAGAGAAAUCUUAAAUAUAGUUGCUCUACACUUCAAUUAAGUGAAAGUCAGUAUCCCGCAAGUUCAUGUUAGACUACCGGAGAAAAAAGCAGAAACAGAAUCUUAUCUUCUUAGAACUUCAAAACAAAAUCAUCAACUUAAUUCAAUUGAACAGUGAAGUCAAAAGAGAUUUCACUUAAAUGUCAAUUAGUUACUCUUCCACUUCUCUCAGGUUCCAAACACUAAAAAUUUCACAGUAUCUCAUCACAUAAACGGAAAACACAACAAAAAGAUAACUACAAACUUAAACAGAUAACUUGAACUUCGAUAGUUACACGGUCAACUCAAAAGUCAAAACCAAAAAUAAUCAAAGCCAAACAGUAAAUCUUUUAAUUUAAAAUUUUUUUUCCAUGAAAUAUCAGUUUAUAUCAUCACAUACUCCAAAUAUCGCAACUAUUCAUCAAUCAAAACAAAAAAAUUCAAAAAAUAACUAAAGAAAAAGAAGAGAAAACUCACAGAAGAAAAAAGAGUAAUCCAAAGGAGAUAGAGUAAAGAAGAUUAGAACCAAAAAUAAAAAGUAAAGAUGAAUUACAUGAAUAAUUUCAAUAUAACAAACGAGAGCUACUUCCAAUUUCGAUGAUGGAUUUGAGAUGAAAUGAAGACGAAAUGAAAAUAAAAGGAGAUAUUCUCUUUUCUAGAUCCUUUUUGAGGUGUGUCUCUCAACUAUCCAUUCCUUUUGUU
rnacentral:lncRNA from 1 species